GACGAACGCUGGCGGCGUGCUUAACACAUGCAAGUCGAGCGAGGCCCCUCCUUCGGGAGGGUGUCCUAGCGGCGAACGGGUGAGUAACACGUGGGCAACCUGCCCUCAGCUCUGGGAUAACUCCGGGAAACCGGGGCUAAUACCGGAUACGUCCUCCACGGGCAUCUGCGGAGGUGGAAAGUUUUUCGGCUGAGGAUGGGCCCGCGGCCUAUCAGCUAGUUGGUGGGGUAGUGGCCCACCAAGGCGACGACGGGUAGCCGGCCUGAGAGGGCGACCGGCCACACUGGGACUGAGACACGGCCCAGACUCCUACGGGAGGCAGCAGUGGGGAAUAUUGCGCAAUGGGCGAAAGCCUGACGCAGCGACGCCGCGUGAGGGACGAAGGCCUUCGGGUUGUAAACCUCUUUCAGCAGGGACGAAGCGAAAGUGACGGUACCUGCAGAAGAAGCACCGGCCAACUACGUG
rnacentral:rRNA from 1 species